rnacentral:rRNA from 1 species
AUUGAACGCUGGCGGCAUGCCUUACACAUGCAAGUCGAACGCCAAAGGGCGGGGGUAACCCUGCACGAGUAGCGGGCGGCACGGGUGAGUAACACAUCGGAACGUAUCCACGAGUGGGGACGAACCAGUCGAAAGAUUGGCUAAUACCGCAUACGCUGGAGAUCAGGAAAGCGGGGGACCCGUCGAAAGGGGCCGUCGCGCUCGCGGCGCGGCCGAUGUCCGAUUAGCUAGUUGGUGCGGGUAAGAGCCCACCAAGGCGACGAUCGGUAGCGGUCUGAGAGGAUGAUCCGCCACACUGGGACUGAGACACGGCCCAGACUCCUACGGGAGGCAGCAGUGGGGAAUUUUGGACAAUGGGGGCAACCCUGAUCCAGCCAUGCCGCGUGAGUGAAG